rnacentral:rRNA from 1 species
UACGUAGGGCGCAAGCGUUGUCCGGAAUUAUUGGGCGUAAAGAGCUCGUAGGUGGCUGGUCGCGUCUGCCGUGAAAGCCCGCAGCUUAACUGCGGGUCUGCGGUGGAUACGGGCCGGCUAGAGGUAGGCAGGGGCAAGUGGAAUUCCUGGUGUAGCGGUGAAAUGCGCAGAUAUCUGGAGGAAUACCGGUGGCGAAGGCGGCAUCCUGGACCGGCAUUGACGCUGAGGAGCGAAAGCCAGGGGAGCAAAGCGGG